CCCACUGAGCGAGGCCAGGGAUUGAAUCUGCAACUUCAUGGUUCCUAGUUGGAUUCGUUUCCACUGUGCCACGACAGGAACUCUGGAGUUUACAUUAUUGAUGAGACCUCCCUCUUUUCUGGUGUAUGCACUUAGUGCUCUAAGUUUCCCUGUUGGUUCUGCUUUAGACAUCUCUGUCAAAUUUUGAUAUGUUUUAUUUUCACUUUCAUUGUGUUUUUUAUAUUUCUUUUGAGAGAUCUUCUUUUUAUAAAUACCUAUAGUUCAGUUUUCAAGUGUUUGUAGAUGCUUCUCUUAGUGUUGUUGAUUUUUAGUUUGAUUCUUUAGUGGUUGGAGAAUACGUUCUGUAGCAUUUCAGCUCUUUUAAAUUUAUUGAGGUUUGUUUCAUAGUUGAGAGUAUAUUUUGGUGUAUAUUCUAUGCAUACAUGAAAAGAACAUGUAUUCUGCUGUUGUUGGGUGGAAUGUUCUAUCAAUAUCAGUCAGAUCCUAUUGUCUCAUGUUGUUGAGUUCUUCUAUAUCCUUACUGGUUUUUCUGUCUGGUUGUUCUGUAAGCUGUUGAGUAAGGGGUGAUGAAGUCUCCACUUAGAGUGAGUGGAUUUUGAAUUUGUCAAUGUCUCCUUCCAGAUCUAUAUGUUCUGCUUCACCUAUUUUCUACCUCUUUUGUUUGCUGCACUCUCAUUUAUAAUUGCUAUGUCUUCUGGGUGGAUUAACAGUUUUGUCAUUAUGUAAGGUCCCUCUCUGCCUCUGGCAGCUGUCCUUGUUCUAAAGUUUACUUCAAUAUUAGUUUAGACUUUCUUGCUUUAUUUUGAUUAAUAUCUUCAUGAUGUAUGAUUUUCCUGCCUUUUAUUUUCAGCCUGACUAUAUCAUCUUUAAUGUGAGUUUCUUGUAAACAGCAUCUAGUGUGUCAUGUUUUUAAUUUACUCUGCAAAUCUUUGUCACUUAAGUGGAUGCUUUAGUUAUUAUAUUAUAUGUACAUAAUUUAUCUUGGUCUACUGCUGUGUCAUUUUAUCACUUACCAUGCUCCUUUAACCUAUAAUAUAAUUGUCUUAAAUCUGCUGGAGGGGUCCCUUUACCUCUCUUUGCAAAAUGAAAGUCACAGUUCCCUUCUUAGAUAUGCUUCUGCAGGGGUGUUAGGGUAACUUUGUUGCAAUCUCUUGGGAUAGAAAUUUAGACUUUUCUCUUGGUCUUUAAUAACAUGGGUGGGCCACUUUGUUUUUGUGUUUGGCUUGGGUAGAUGAUGUAAACAUUUUCUCUUUCUAGGCUGUCUCCAUCUUCCUCCUUUGGCUAUGGAUAGUAGGUUUUUGCUGGGGAUCAUUUUUUGUUUGUUUUUUGUUUUUUUGCUUUUCUGGACUAUGUAAUAUAGCAGUCCCAGACCUGCUGGCCUCAUUAGCUUGAAUAGUGGGAUAUUAGAAAAAACAAACAAACUAAAAACCCAUUAAUGAAACUCACCACUACAUCGUUCUUCUGGUUCUAAGAUCCCUCGCCAGUCUGCCUUUGUUCUACUUCUCAGAGUCUCCCUCUGUUUGCUUUAUACAUAAUGUCUAGGAUUUUUAGUUAUAAUUAGAGGGAGGAACAAGUAGAAGUACAUCUCCUUCAUGUUCUUUGAAGUGAAAUCCUUAAAUCUUCUUUUAAUUCUUUCGAUUGGUUUAUAGAUGUUUUAUUUUUAUUUUAUAGGUGCUGCAUGGUUCUUGUUAAAUUUAUAGUUAUGUCUAUUGUUACUGUUUGUAAGUUGAGUCUCUGUGGUAUCCAGAAUACUUGUACCUUCCACCAGUUCUCAGUUUCUCUGAAACUAUAAGAUGCACGAAUUUCAAUCAUUUGACUACUCGUUAUCAUUCCACCGAAAGUACUUCAUGGAGAUAGGUUACUGGACAAGUCAACUGCUCUGGAUUUGCCAAAUGGUGAGACUGAUGGAGAUUAUCCUGUGAUGGAACCUGCAUCCUUGAACAGAACUGGGAAUCCAGGAGGCUGAGCCAAGGGUUGUAUGCAGGGAGAGCCACAGACCCACAGGAGCACCAUGUGACCUGGCAGGCGGCCCUAACAGCCCCAGCAGCACAUCCCCCAGCCCACCUCAGCUGCCAUACCACCACAGCUCCGGACCACCCCGGAAAUGACCAACACCUGCAAAUCCAAGGCUGUGGAAGUUCCUCCAGGGUGAGUUGCGAUGUCAUCACUUAAGAUUCAAGAGCUCUCAGCAAACAGUCUAGAACAGAUUAAAAGAAAUUUCCUGAAAUCCCUGUCUUGGAAACCUGAGUGGCAAGAUACACCACUUGCAUCAAAUGUGUUCACCAUGAGCACAGAAUUCCAGGGGACCCACAAUGCGUGGAAGUCAAUGAUCCUCAAAAGGAGUGCAAGAUCUACAUGCUGUGGAAUAUCUGUGUCUUUGGGUCACAUUAACAAAUAUGGUUAGCUGUCCCACAACCCACGGUAAGAAUGUGACUGUAGAAUGUUGAUUUAUGUAUAUUCACGAACUUGGAGAAUCUGCUAAAAUGCUUGCAGGUGGCAGAUAGCUUUUUUUUUUUUUUCCAUGGCAUAGGGAAGUUCCCAGGCUAGGGGUCCAAUCAGAGCUGCAGCUGACCUA